rnacentral:misc_RNA from 1 species
UGAGUAUCUCUGCCUAAGUGGAAUUGGACGGUCUUCCAAACUUCGAGAUAAACUAAAUGAAUCUAAAGAAUCAUCAUCAGCCAACUCUGUACCAGCAUCUUUUUUCCCUUUCUUCUUAGGCCAAUGGAGGAGAGACCUUAGGUGCCUUGCCACGCUAUUUAAGGAAGCUGACUUCUUAUUAGCCAUCGAGUUAGCUGUGUCAAAUUCACUUG